CGUUCCCGGGCCUUGUACACACCGCCCGUCAAGCCAUGGAAGUCGAGGGCACCCGAAGUCCGUGACCCAACCCUCUGGGGGGAGCGGCCGAAGGUGAACUCGGUGACUGGGGCU
rnacentral:rRNA from 1 species